UUGAUUUGAUUUUUCAAAUUGAGAUGCAUAAUUUCUGCUUAGCUUACCAUGGUAAAGAAAGAUCUUGCAAUUGUUUCCUAGUUUUAUUCAUUCACUUGGACUUAAUCGGUUUCUUGAUUUAAAAAAUUGUGUACACCAGUUGCUUAGAAUCCUGACUUUUGUAGAAAAUGUGUAUCAUUUUGAAUUUUAGAAGCUACAUCAAAUUUGUUGGCUGUGUACAAGACUGUUUAAGAUAAAUCAUAAGCCCAAAACCUUACCCUUCUAUGGUCUCUACUAGUUUUAUACAGUAAAAUUCAAGGACUAAACCUCACUGGGUGGAUUGGAGGCCAGCUUAAUAACCUGCAUCAUUUGAAGCACUUGCAACUGAAACUGCCUUGUUAUAUUUAGCUCUUAUUGAAAUAGUACCUGUACUGUAAUGUUUAUUUAAUUCUUUAUUCUGUGUUCUUCUUUAGGGAUGUCAGCUUCAAUAACAUUCAGGGUGAAACUGUUUAGUAACAGGAAGGGCAAAUGUUAUUUGUUUAUAUAGUAACAUUCUGGUUUCUUCUUUAUUCUGUCUAAAGCAUUAUAUUUGUUUAUAUAGUAAUAGGAAGGGUAACUGUUUCUUCUUCCCAGGUUAAACCGUCAAAUUGGUCUUCUUUCUUGUAGUAGUUCAUUUGAAUAGUUCAUUGCGCAAUUUAAGUUUAAGCGUUGGGCUGUUAGAAAACUAGAUAUGCUACACCGUUUACUGUUUCCACAGAAGAGGAAUUGGGUAUCGAUAAGUCUGAUGCUGGAAAUACCCCAUUCUAUCCAUUUGAUUGUUCUUGUUGUUUUUAAGGAUACAUGCAAAAUCUGUUUGGUGUAGUUGCUUCCUUUGAUCCAGUGAAUCAGAUUUUCAUGUA